GAUGAACGCUGGCGGCGUGCUUAACACAUGCAAGUCGAACGAAGCACUCUAUUUGAUUUUCUUCGGAAAUGAAGAUUCUGUGACUGAGUGGCGGACGGGUGAGUAACGCGUGGGUAACCUGCCUCAUACAGGGGGAUAACAGUUGGAAACGACUGCUAAUACCGCAUAAGCGCACAGGAUUGCAUGAUCCGGUGUGAAAAACUCCGGUGGUAUGAGAUGGACCCGCGUCUGAUUAGCCAGUUGGCAGGGUAACGGCCCACCAAAGCGACGAUCAGGAGCCGACCUGAGAGGGUGACCGGCCACAUUGGGACUGAGCCACGGCCCAAACUCCUACGGGAGGCAGCAGUGGGGAAUAUUGCACAAUGGGGGAAACCCUGAUGCAGCGACGCCGCGUGAGCGAAGAAGUAUUUCGGUAUGUAAAGCUCUAUCAGCAGGGAAGAAGAAUGACGGUACCUGACUAAGAAGCACCGGCUAAAUACGUGCCAGCCGCCGCCGUAA
rnacentral:rRNA from 1 species